CGCGAAAAACCUUACCCACCUUUGAUAUGUACGGAAUUUGCCAGAGAUGGCUUAGUGCUCGAAAGAGAACCGUAACACAGGUGCUGCAUGGCUGUCGUCAGCUCGUGUCGUGAGAUGUUGGGUUAAGUCCCGCAACGAGCGCAACCCUUGUCAUUAGUUGCUACAUUCAGUUGGGCACUCUAAUGAGACUGCCGGUGACAAACCGGAGGAAGGUGGGGAUGACGUCAAGUCCUCAUGGCCCUUAUAGGUGGGGCUACACACGUCAUACAAUGGCUGGUACAAAGGGUUGCCAACCCGCGAGGGGGAGCUAAUCCCAUAAAACCAGUCGUAGUCCGGAUCGCAGUCUGCAACUCGACUGCGUGAAGUCGGAAUCGCUAGUAAUCGUGGAUCAGAAUGUCACGGUGAAUACGUUCCCGGGUCUUGUACACACCGCCCGUCACACCAUGGGAGCGGGUUCUGCCAGAAGUAGUUAGCUUAACCGCAAGGAGGGCGAUUACCACGGCAGGGUUCGUGACUGGGGUGAAGUCGUAACAA
rnacentral:rRNA from 1 species